UUGAGUGAUGUUUUAGAGCCUCCUAACUUGAAGUCUUUCUACACUCAAAAGCCAUUAACCUGAGUACUUCAGUGACAUUUUUCAUUUGGAUUGGCUGCUACAGGGAAGGCUGAAUCUUGAAUCAGCACCAACUGUCACCCAUUUCCUGGAAUAGAAAUGAGCCUAAACCAACCACACAGUAAAUUAAAGCCAACAAUAAUGGAAACUGAAGCUGAAGCACAUUCCAGGUAGAGGAAAUGCCAGCUCAGCACCUGUCUCCUAGUGCCAACUGCACAGAGCCCUGGGGAAAGGGCAAAGCGAAGACCCACUGGUCAUGCAGAGGAAUUAGAGCUGCAG